GUGUACCCGCGGCAAGACGGAAAGACCCCGUGAACCUUUACUAUAGCUUGACACUGAACAUUGAGCCUUGAUGUGUAGGAUAGGUGGGAGGCUUUGAAGUGUGGACGCCAGUCUGCAUGGAGCCGACCUUGAAAUACCACCCUUUAAUGUUUGAUGUUCUAACGUGGACCCGUGAUCCGGGUUGCGGACAGUGUCUGGUGGGUAGUUUGACUGGGGCGGUCUCCUCCUAAAGAGUAACGGAGGAGCACGAAGGUUGGCUAAUCCUGGUCGGACAUCAGGAGGUUAGUGCAAUGGCAUAAGCCAGCUUGACUGCGAGCGUGACGGCGCGAGCAGGUGCGAAAGCAGGUCAUAGUGAUCCGGUGGUUCUGAAUGGAAGGGCCAUCGCUCAACGGAUAAAAGGUACUCCGGGGAUAACAGGCUGAUACCGCCCAAGAGUUCAUAUCGACGGCGGUGUUUGGCACCUCGAUGUCGGCUCAUCACAUCCUGGGGCUGAAGUAGGUCCCAAGGGUAUGGCUGUUCGCCAUUUAAAGUGGUACGCGAGCUGGGUUUAGAACGUCGUGAGACAGUUCGGUCCCUAUCUGCCGUGGGCGCUGGAGAACUGAGGGGGGCUGCUCCUAGUACGAGAGGACCGGAGUGGACGCAUCACUGGUGUUCGGGUUGUCAUGCCAAUGGCACUGCCCGGUAGCUAAAUGCGGAAGAGAUAAGUGCUGAAAGCAUCUAAGCACGAAACUUGCCCCGA
rnacentral:rRNA from 1 species